GUUGGAAAGUAGGCAGUGGGAAUGAUGCAUUAAUUACUGUAAUUAACAAGGUUGGUACUACUUAACCUUCUCCUAAUCCCGAUCAUUCUUUUGGUUUCUUGCAAUAAAAUUAUAAGCAGAAAACCUAGUACUUAAGCUCUGAUGCUGAACGCAAUUCCUGUGAAUUUAGUCAUUAACGAAUGGCUGGAGGUGCAGAUUUAGCAGUCCCUUCUGUUGGAUCCAAAAGUAUCAUGGAUCCAAACCAGGAAUCAGACAAGAGUAAUUACCGCCAAUCGAGCAUUGAGGCAAUUCUUGUGGCUUCCAAGUUGCCAAAAGCAGUGUCACUGGUUUCGUCAGCACCUGAAGGGGAGACCAUCAGGCGGCCUCGCGGGAGGCCUGCUGGAUCAAAAAA
rnacentral:misc_RNA from 1 species